GGCGGCAGGCUUAACACAUGCAAGUCGAGCGGAGAGAGGUAGCUUGCUACUGAUCUUAGCGGCGGACGGGUGAGUAAUGCUUAGGAAUCUGCCUAUUAGUGGGGGACAACAUUUCGAAAGGAAUGCUAAUACCGCAUACGUCCUACGGGAGAAAGCAGGGGAUCUUCGGACCUUGCGCUAAUAGAUGAGCCUAAGUCGGAUUAGCUAGUUGGUGGGGUAAAGGCCUACCAAGGCGACGAUCUGUAGCGGGUCUGAGAGGAUGAUCCGCCACACUGGGACUGAGACACGGCCCAGACUCCUACGGGAGGCAGCAGUGGGGAAUAUUGGACAAUGGGCGGAAGCCUGAUCCAGCCAUGCCGCGUGUGUGAAGAAGGCCUUAUGGUUGUAAAGCACUUUAAGCGAGGAGGAGGCUACUUUAGUUAAUACCUAGAGAUAGUGGACGUUACUCGCAGAAUAAGCACCGGCUAACUCUGUGCCAGCAGCCGCGGUAAUACAGAGGGUGCAAGCGUUAAUCGGAUUUACUGGGCGUAAAGCGCGCGUAGGCGGCUAAUUAAGUCAAAUGUGAAAUCCCCGAGCUUAACUUGGGAAUUGCAUUCGAUACUGGUUAGCUAGAGUGUGGGAGAGGAUGGUAGAAUUCCAGGUGUAGCGGUGAAAUGCGUAGAGAUCUGGAGGAAUACCGAUGGCGAAGGCAGCCAUCUGGCCUAACACUGACGCUGAGGUGCGAAAGCAUGGGGAGCAAACAGGAUUAGAUACCCUGGUAGUCCAUGCCGUAAACGAUGUCUACUAGCCGUUGGGGCCUUUGAGGCUUUAGUGGCGCAGCUAACGCGAUAAGUAGACCGCCUGGGGAGUACGGUCGCAAGACUAAAACUCAAAUGAAUUGACGGGGGCCCGCACAAGCGGUGGAGCAUGUGGUUUAAUUCGAUGCAACGCGAAGAACCUUACCUGGCCUUGACAUAGUAAGAACUUUCCAGAGAUGGAUUGGUGCCUUCGGGAACUUACAUACAGGUGCUGCAUGGCUGUCGUCAGCUCGUGUCGUGAGAUGUUGGGUUAAGUCCCGCAACGAGCGCAACCCUUUUCCUUAUUUGCCAGCGAGUAAUGUCGGGAACUUUAAGGAUACUGCCAGUGACAAACUGGAGGAAGGCGGGGACGACGUCAAGUCAUCAUGGCCCUUACGGCCAGGGCUACACACGUGCUACAAUGGUCGGUACAAAGGGUUGCUACCUAGCGAUAGGAUGCUAAUCUCAAAAAGCCGAUCGUAGUCCGGAUUGGAGUCUGCAACUCGACUCCAUGAAG
rnacentral:rRNA from 1 species